UCCCGUUUAGCUCAGUUGGUAGAGCGCGUCACUAGUAUUGGUAAUGACGAGGUCAGUCGUUCAAAUCGGCUAAUGGGAA